UGGGUUUAACCAGUCUCACAUCAGUGAGAGAGCGGGAGGGGGGAGGAGAGGGAUGUUUUUGGCGUACGUGCUUCGCUGCGCUGUCUGUUUAUGAGACGGUGACCGCAGGCCACACUUGUGAGAAGCAGACAGACAGCGGUAUCAGUCAGCAGAUAAGUGCUCUUUACUUUCUGAUCAUAUGAGCGGGUAACAACUGAACCCCCAAACCUAUAGAUAGAUGACACUGGUGGUUUUUUAGAUAAAGUAUGUCUAGUCUGAAUGCACUCGCAAAAUGAUGCUUGAUUAACAUUCCUACAAGCUCUUCUGAUGUUUCUUUGAUAAUCACGAUUGCAUUUAAGGCUGAAACUAACAGUUUUUAUCGCCACUGAUUACAUCAUUUAUGUGUGUCUUAGCCAAUCAGAUGAUUUUAAGCUGUAUAAUACUAUAUUUUCUGUUAAUCUGCAUUUCUACUUACCCCAUAACAGUUCACUAUAACGUUUAUAUUUCCUGCACUUUACUGGACAGUUAAAGUUACGGUGUAGAUUAAAAAAACAUUACAUUACGUACUUAAAAUGAGCUUCCCCUUAGUCACUUACAACUUAGAAGUGCUUCUUACAUGUUAAUGCAUCAGUAAUGAUAAUAUACUGGAGCUUAAACAAUGAAGUAAUCAAUUCAUGGAUGAGAAAAUACAUUUUUUGAAAGCAAGACACAUAUCAGAUAGUUUCAGCUACUUCAGCGUCAUUUUCUUUGUCUUAAAUAUUUAUGAUCUGUAUUGUUCCCUGCUGAUCGAUCGUGACUGAUUCCAUUUUUCUGUAUUGACAUUUAUGGACAAAAUAAGAGCUGAUUAAACAAGAAAAUAAUCUGCAGAUUAAUUGAGGAUGAUCUAAUUCAACAGUUAGAGGGACUACUCCUACUACAGGGGGAGAGAAAUUACCUUUCACGUUUGAAACUUUGAGACUAGGUGUAUUUUGUGAGUACUUCUGCACUUCUCAGCCGCAUUUAAAACACAUAAACGUUACUUAUGUAGCAGCGUGUGUCUGUAUAAAUACUUUUACAUAAAUAAAUACUUCCUCGGUCUGCUUAUAAAAACUACCAUGUACACAAAUAGCUCCUGUCAAACUCUGGUCACGUAGCUUUUUAACCGCAACAGCAGCCUCGACUGACAUAACAACAUCAGACUCCCAAACAAAUGCGACAAAGCAUUCCUUCCAGUACGCUGUGACGUCAGGGAAGCAACUGAACUGAACUGAAAAGCUCGAAUGCUAAAAAAAGAAGAAAAAAAAGCAACAACAAAACGACAUUUUUUAUCAUGUGUAUCACUUGAAAAUGAUACAUAGCUAGCUAAUAUACGGUUGUUUGUGGGGUGUGUGAACGUAGUGGACAACAACAACAACAACAACAACAACAAAAAGUACAAUAAAAGCGCCAACGGUAACUUUUUUAAAAAAAACUCGCGAGCGCCUGCUGCCAACGACAUUCGAAGCAUCGCCGGUUAAAAACGACGCAACAGUUAACGUCCAUUUUAGCUGCAUCAUCGCCGCUCUGGCACAUGUGGAGGCACCUCAUGUUAAAGCACCGUGAACCCGCUGAACUCGCUGCUGCUGCUGCUACUCACUGACAGCACGGAGCCGACGAGCCAGCAGCUAGCAGAGCCGGUUUGACAGGAUGUUACUAAAAAGAAAGUUGCUGUAGUGAAUUGACGGCGAUGGAAGAGCUUCCUGGGGGUCUCCCGCUGCUGCUGCUGCUGCUGCCGGUGGUGGUGGUGCCGCUCAGAAGUCACUCAUCUUGAAGGUUUCUCUUUUUUUCGCUCCGCUGAAAUGCCUUCAAACUUGAGUCAGGGUUUUUUUCUUAAGAUAAACGCUUCACAAGUCUCUUUGGGGGUUUUUGAGGGGGGCUUUUUUGUGUUAAAAAGCUUGAGAUGGAGGUCGUGGGCUGUGAGUCUGUCUCCUGCGUCCGUUUCCCAGUCCGAGCUCCGGCAGCUGUAAUUUCACAACUUCACGUGUGGAUGAGUAAAGUCUUCCAGGAUGGAGGUGACAGGCCGCUGAGGUUGUACCGCUGUCCAACUUCUUUGGACGGCUAAAACAUGCUAAUAUACGGCAAGCUGACGCAAUGAUAGUGGGAUGGGUCGUGCUUGGAGGCCCAGCCUCCUAACCAGCCAAUGACAGAGCACAGAGGCGGUGACAUGGAGCCCAGGGCCAGGCAGCCCUGUGGGUACAGCACUGCUUUCAAACCCAUUUAUCUAAGCAUAAGCAGUGCUGGAAUGUGACUAAAAUACAGUUACUCAACUACUUUACAAUUUGAGGUACUUGUACUUUACAUUUAAUCCUUUGUACUUUUAGAGGCAGGUACUUGUGCUCCAUUACAUGUAUUUAAUAUUUAGUUACUAGUUACUUUGCAAACUCCACAGAGUUGCACACCUCCUUAAUCACAUUUGUAAAAAAAAAAAAAGUCAUGUAUACAAGAAAGUUAAUGUUACAUGUGUAAUA